GACGAACGCUGGCGGCGUGCUUAACACAUGCAAGUCGAACGGAAAGGCCCUGCUUUUGUGGGGUGCUCGAGUGGCGAACGGGUGAGUAACACGUGAGUAACCUGCCCUUGACUUUGGGAUAACUUCAGGAAACUGGGGCUAAUACCGGAUAGGAGCUCCUGCUGCAUGGUGGGGGUUGGAAAGUUUCGGCGGUUGGGGAUGGACUCGCGGCUUAUCAGCUUGUUGGUGGGGUAGUGGCUUACCAAGGCUUUGGCGGGUAGCCGGCCUGAGAGGGUGACCGGCCACAUUGGGACUGAGAUACGGCCAAGACUCCUACGGGAGGCAGCAGUGGGGAAUAUUGCACAAUGGGCGGAAGCCUGAUGCAGCAACGCCGCGUGCGGGAUGACGGCCUUCGGGUUGUAAACCGCUUUCGCCUGUGACGAAGCGUGAGUGACGGUAAUGGGUAAAGAAGCACCGGCUAACUACGUG
rnacentral:rRNA from 1 species